rnacentral:lncRNA from 1 species
ACUUGAAGUCAGUAGAAAUGAAUUUUCAAUCACGGAUAAUAGAUCAUGAUAUAACUCUGUGCCUCCCCCUCCACCCAUCUAAUAUAGUUGGCACAUUGCCUUGAAGACCUGUCAUGAAGAGAGGAAAAAAAGAUCCUCAUUCUUCCCUUAUCACCCCAUUCAUCAGUAAAUUUCAGUGUUCUUCCCAGCUUUCAUUCUUGCCGUCUUCUGUACUUCAGGAGGCUUAUUGCUUCUGACUGAUGAACAAGACAAGACAAUGACAUGCCAGAAACCAUUCCUGCGCCAGCUCUUACAAAGCUAGUUGAUAAUGUUCACUUUCAAAAGAAGUACCAAUUCUCCCUUCCCUGGAAUAAGUAGAGAUUGUGCUGCAGGUUGUUGGAGAGGAGUUAAGGAGUUAGAAGGAGUUGAGCAUCAGAGUACCAGUUGGAUCAGCCAGCUUCCAAGUUCCCUGUCUGCCCAGAAUAUUAGAGAUCAAGAAGCUGGGCUCUACACAACAUUGUAAAUCAAUUAUAGUGUAAUAAGGAAAAAUACAAUUGAAAGGCGAAGAAGAAGAAGAAGAAGGAGAAGAAGCUGGGCUCUUGAGUAAGACAGAUUCCCCCCUGUUUGGAUUUUGGCUCCACCAUAUACUAGCUGUGUGAUCAUGUGCAGGUGAGUGACCUCUCUGAGCCUUUGUUUCCUCGUUCAUAAGAGAGGUAACAGCAGUACAGACCUCAAAAGAUGUUGUGAGGAUUAAAGUGAUGGAUGUAAUAUCUGGCGCAUAACCACUCAACAAGUGCCUUACCUACUAUUAUGAAUCAAUGGGAAAGAAUGCACUAUAACUUCUUUUCUUUUUUCAAGAGGCGAUAACCAAGGUGUUAGUCUCCCAUUGUUCAAAUAGACACUUCUAAGAGCUCACCAAGUUCCUCGGAGGGCAGGGAAGUGAUUUUCUUGUUUUCAAAAUAGCUACUUCCACAGCCAACGCCCAGAUAUAUACACAACCCUUCAGUCUUUGCCGUGGACUCCAGACUUCUGCUUUGUUCAGGGGCCUGGGCGGAAUGGAGACAGGAAGAGGUGCUGAGACACGGAGGCCGAGGAGCUGGGGUCCAGGCUGGGUUAAGCGGGGAAGUGGCCCAUGAGUCACAGGCUGGAAAACUCCAGCAAGGCCCGGCUGGCUCCUGGGCUUCACACACUGGGAGACAUUUCCUGCUCUUUGCACUCUGCCGCCCCCCUCACUCAAGAGCUCCUCAAGACAAGGUCUUUAAGCGAAUUGUUAUAACCCAGGGGAAGGAGUGUUUCUAGUGUCCGCCAAGGCUAGGAAUCUCCCAAGCCUUAUGAAAAUUUGGUGUGAGGUAAGUUGGUGCUCUGGCCAAGGCCUAUUUUGCCAUUUUGGCAAAAGCAACAGGUGGUGUUGACUGGUUUCCUCAGGGGCUGGAGGGCUGGCUUGCGAGUGAAAAAGUCAACUGUUACUGUCAGAAAAUCCUUCCCCUGCACCCCUCUGGAAAGGGCAGAGGCUUCACUUUGAU